rnacentral:rRNA from 1 species
UGGUGGGUUGACUUGUCUGGUUAAUUUCGAUAACGAACGAGAUCCGAGCUGUUUACUUGCAGUCACUAUUAUAGUGGUAUGUACUUAAAUGGACCAUCAACUCAAGUUGAAGGAAGUGUCGGGCUAAAUCA